UACGGGGGGGGCAAGCGUUGUUCGGAAUUACUGGGCGUAAAGGGCGCGUAGGCGGUUGGAUAAGUCAGCUGUGAAAACCACGGGCUUAACUCGUGGCCUGCAGUUGAGACUGUCUGGCUUGAGUGUGGGAGAGGAGAGUGGAAUUCCUGGUGUAGCGGUGAAAUUCGUAGAUAUUCGCAAGAACACCAGUGGCGAAGGCGGCUCACUGGCCCGAUACUGACGCUGAGGCACGAAAGCGUGGGGAGCAAACAGG
rnacentral:rRNA from 1 species